rnacentral:misc_RNA from 1 species
CUUUAUUGCCCUUUAUUUUUGAAAAAAUAGCUUAAUUACGAACAUCAUGAUAGGAAUCACAUCUAAAUGAAAGAUCACUUGCAAAAUAUUGUAUUAACAAUGAGGUUCAUAUCUUUGUUCUGCGCUAUAUUAUUGGCUUUUCAAAUAAGCACAUCCCUCUUUGGUGAAGCCGUGGUGUUUAAGUUUACAAACUAUGUAUGUCUGAGCUACAACGAGUCCUGGUUCAUUUUUCACAACUGCCGGCUAAAGGCAGUUAGUCGGGAUAAGGUGAUCUUGAACACGAACGGAACCAUCCUCUUUCCGGCUUUCUCCAUCAUCACUCACAGCAAGCUAUUCAAAAAGGCGAACGGAUACAAGCCAUGGCUAUUUGAUACCAAAGUGGAUGCCUGUCGAUUUUUGAAGAAACGUUAUGAUCCUUUCGCCAAAAUUGUUUAUGGUCUCUUUAAAGAAUUUUCCAAUAUCAACCACACCUGUCCGUAUGUGGGUCUGCAGGAAGUAAGGGGCUUCUUUUUAAGGCCUGAGCUUUUGUCGCUUCCCAUCCCAAGUGGGGAUUACAUGCUGUCGUUGAGAUGGUAUUUUCAUAAGAAACUAGUGUUUGACACAAACGUCAGUUUUACAUUUACAGAAGAUUUUCUUCAUGGAUAGUAACAAAUAUAAAAUAAUGUCGGCACAAGCUUGCGACAAAUUUUGCAAAAUUAUUGUACAUUUUAUAUUAACAAAAUACGCCUUGGAUGGUUGCUGAUUUGGCCGAAAACAUUAUGUGACAACCAUCGUUUACAACAUUUUUUAAGGAUAAUUCUAAUUUGAAUCAUAAUUGUCCCUAUUCGCGCCUAGGUUUCCAGGGCCUAGGUUAUGGGUGUUCAAGUGUUUCCCGAGGCAAUCCCAGUUCCACUUCCGUCUGGAAAUUACCUAAUUUUAAUUAAAGGGUCUGAAGCCGAAAUGUUUCCACAGAUCUAGUCUAGUAUUCUUCGGAAUUUACUUCUGUUUUGAGGAAUAGUACUGUUUUUUAAUGAAAAAAUUACUAUUUACGAGGAUCUGCCCCAAAGUUGCAUUAAUUUCUGGGUGUUUGAUAAAAGGAUUCUAAUCACAAUUAACGUUUAUAAGAGAUGAAAUUCAACACAUACAUUUAUGUGGCUAUUUUUAACCAGAAACAUAUUGAUUUAAUUUAAUUCUAAGGUUUAUGUAUAAUCCUGUAUGUUUCGGAAAAUUAAAUUUAAAUGA